rnacentral:rRNA from 1 species
AUGCAGUCGAACGGAGUGUUGCGCUGAAAUUGAGAUUAGCUUGCUAAAGGAAAUUUCUUGUAACACUUAGUGGCGGACGGGUGAGUAACGCGUGAGGAACCUGCCUUACAGAGGGGGACAACAGUUGGAAACGACUGCUAAUACCGCAUGAUGUUUCGAGAGGACAUCCUCUUGAAACCAAAGGAGCAAUCCGCUGUAAGAUGGCCUCGCGUCUGAUUAGAUAGUUGGUGGGGUAACGGCCUACCAAGUCGACGAUCAGUAGCCGGACUGAGAGGUUGAUCGGCCACAUUGGGACUGAGACACGGCCCAGACUCCUACGGGAGGCAGCAGUGGGGGAUAUUGCACAAUGGAGGAAACUCUGAUGCAGCAACGCCGCGUGAGGGAAGAAGGUUUUCGGAUUGUAAACCUCUGUUUUUAGUGAAGAAACAAAUGACGGUAGCUAAAGAGGAAGCCACGGCUAACUACGUGCCAGCAGCCGCGGUAAUACGUAGGUGGCAAGCGUUGUCCGGAAUUACUGGGUGUAAAGGGUGCGCAGGCGGGAUUGCAAGUUGGAUGUGAAAUACCGGGGCUUAACCCCGGAGCUGCAUCCAAAACUGUAGUUCUUGAGUGGAGUAGAGGUAAGCGGAAUUCCGAGUGUAGCGGUGAAAUGCGUAGAUAUUCGGAGGAACACCAGUGGCGAAGGCGGCUUACUGGGCUCUAACUGACGCUGAGGCACGAAAGCAUGGGUAGCAAACAGGAUUAGAUACCCUGGUAGUCCAUGCUGUAAACGAUGAAUGCUAGGUGUGGGGGGACUGACCCUUCCGUGCCGGAGUAAACACAAUAAGCAUUCCACCUGGG